rnacentral:rRNA from 1 species
UACGAAGGGGGCUAGCGUUGCUCGGAUUUACUGGGCGUAAAGGGCGCGUAGGCGGACAGUUAAGUUGGGGGUGAAAGCCCGGGGCUCAACCUCGGAACUGCCUUCAAUACUGGCUGUCUUGAGUACGGGAGAGGUGUGUGGAACUCCGAGUGUAGAGGUGAAAUUCGUAGAUAUUCGGAAGAACACCAGUGGCGAAGGCGACACACUGGCCCGUUACUGACGCUGAGGCGCGAAAGCGUGGGGAGCAAACAGG